rnacentral:tmRNA from 1 species
GGGGCUGCAAUGGUUUCGACGGGGGUGGUGAAGUGGGAUAAGCGGGUAGAGGACCGCACACUCUUUAAACGGCGGACGUUUUAAAAUUAAACGACGAAACUAAUUUUGAAUUAGCUGCUGCUUAAGUCAGCGCUCGUCGGGCCUUUGAGUACCACGGCUUAGGUCUCGGCGUCGAUUAUGUGGUGAACGUGCAGAGGGUACGCCCGUAGCCUUUGUAUGUAUACCGGGCUACCAAAGAACACAGCGUGUCUGCUUGCUGUGUCGGCGGGAACUGCCGCAAGGCGCAAUAACAGACUACACCCGUAGAAAGUCGCAGGGAUCUGCUUUCGGACACGAGUUCGAUUCUCGUCAGCUCCACCA